UUCCUUGUAAGAUGAUGUUGUCAUAACAUGAUUACACAUAAUAGGAGUCCCACUAUAAUAGCAUCAUGUAACUAUAUACUUUUUAGGUUUUGUAUUAUGGUUAUGAUUCUUUACAUUUAUCUUAUGUUUACAUAUCUAACACCAUCAGGUGUUUGAAGAAGUCCAGUUAAAAAGUUAAAAUUCCUUUUGCAUUGUUGAAACUCGAGCAGAAAAAUUUCAAUUUUAUAUUACUUUUAAGUUCUUCCAUAUUGGUUCCCUUAUGUUGAAUUUAGUUAUUUAUACAAUUAAAAAAAUCAUAUUGUGCUUGCUAUCACUAAAUAGAUUCAGUGUCCGAGAAAAAAAAAAGAAAUGAAGAAGAAUAUGGAAAAAUGAUCUUGGCUAAAGGGUACUAACAGGACAAGCUUUACAAAGAGUUUAAUGGUUCUUUGUCAAAAUCUUAGCUUGGGACAGCAAUGCAGGGAGGACUUUUGAAUGGAUGGAUUUUUCUUUGCAUCAACUAUAGAAGAUGAAUAAUGACACGGUAGACAAAUCAAAACUCAAAAGUCAUUUUUCAGCAUUGGAAAUUAACAAAAGUUCACAAACACACAAAUAUACGUGUUGGGCCCGUACUGGCACGGGCCAUGCCCAUCU